UGCAGCCUACGGGGCGCAGCAGUGAGGAAUAUUGGUCAAUGGGCGGAAGCCUGAACCAGCCACGUCGCGUGAGGGAAUAAGGCCCUACGGGUCGUAACCCUCUUUUGCCGGGGAGCAAGGGCGGGGACGUGUCCCGGCCCGGAGAGUACCCGGAGAAAAAGCAUCGGCUAACUCCGUGCCAGCAGCCGCGGUAAUACGUAGGGGGCAAGCGUUAUCCGGAUUUACUGGGUGUAAAGGGGGCGCAGACGGCGAUGCAAGCCAGGAGUGAAAGCCCGGGGCCCAACCCCGGGACUGCUCUUGGAACU
rnacentral:rRNA from 1 species